rnacentral:rRNA from 1 species
UACGUAGGGUGCGAGCGUUGUCCGGAAUCAUUGGGCGUAAAGAGCGUGUAGGCGGUUCGAUAAGUCGGCUGUGAAAGUCCAGGGCUCAACCCUGGGAUGCCGGUCGAAACUGUCGGACUAGAGUUCGGAAGAGGCGAGUGGAAUUCCCGGUGUAGCGGUGAAAUGCGCAGAUAUCGGGAGGAACACCAAUGGCGAAGGCAGCUCGCUGGGACGUUACUGACGCUGAGACGCGAAAGCGUGGGGAGCAAACAGG